rnacentral:lncRNA from 1 species
UACUUCACAAAAACCCUACUUUCUUCUCAUCUUAUUCCUUUUAGAUCUAUUUUCUCACUGACAUUUUUCUACUUCAUCUCAUCAUCUAUUGACAUACAAGCAACUUACACUAUUUUUUUCUUUGGUUUCUCUGAGUAAAAAUUUCUAGAGGUAUCUUCUUUUUUAAAAAAAAAAAAAAUUUCCUGAGUCUUCCAGAAGGUGUUUCCUCUCCCUUAAUCUUCCUGACUUUUGGGAAGCCCUAUCCCCAGGUGGGAUGCGGGUGGGAGGGGCCCCGCCCCUCUGCUCUGACCGCUUCUGUAGCGGCUGAAUUUCUGCCGGAGUCGCAGAUGGCGGGUAGGUUGGUGAGCCCAGCGCCUCACACAUUUCCUGUCGACUUCUGCUCUCUCAGACAGAAAUGGGAUCCACUCCUACGUCCACUGCCGGCUCACUAGUACAUGGAACAGAUGGACUACAUGGAAAACUCUAGCCCUGGUUUUUACUGCUUCUAUUUCUAUCUCCUCCCAGACCCAUAGUGCUUUAUUUAUGGAGACUACUAUGCUGGUAGCCCACAGCCUAAGUCUUGCUCAGGUGUUUUCUGAAGAGUUGCAGUCUCUGGAUGUAGAUAGGUUUGAGGUGGGGGUGAGUGAAAUGAAAAAUUACCAUCUGGUUGUCCUAAAAAACAUGGCUUAGUGAAGGACUAGCUGGCUAGUUUUCUGGUUGGUACAGUUCAUGUGUUUUUCAGCUAAAUAUCACAUAUAGUGGAGGUGAAACAAAGAGUUCUUCUCUCUUCUUUCAGGUGUAAUUUGUGUUUUGUUUUUUCCUUUAGAAACAAAGCACAAUGGGUCCCUCAUUGCAGCAUGGCGCUUAUGAGUCUGGUACUAGGGGCAUUAAAGCCAGAUUCUCCUAGAUUUUGACAACAAGCUUGUUGUGCUAGUUUUCACAGGUGUUUUCAUCUUUGUGUCUCUUCAGAGGUUUUCUAAUGAGGCAUUGAAGUGGCCAGCAAUCACUUGAAGCUGACCCAUUUAUUUAACAAGCCACAGUUUCAUUCCUUGCUGUGAAGUAGUGAUCACUGCACAGAAAGUUCUUCAAGGAAUACCUACAGACCAGGCCAGGGCACUUCACAAAGGAAAAAGGGCUUCAGUCUGCUCUGAAUAUCUGGGCAAGAAAUUCUUCACGAAAAAAAAUUGCCUGAGAGAUUCCGAAGUCCAGCAUUAGCAAUGCCUGCCUUCAUCAUCUAAAAAGUUCCAAUAUGGCUUUUCCUAAAGGUUUGAACUUUGGACAAAUUACACCUUGAUGAAUCUUUUCUACUAGAUGAAAAUACAAAAAUGAAGAGAACAGUCUGGUUGUAUGGAUAUACAGUGAGAGUAGGGAGCAAAGAAUAAUACAGAUGAGAUAAAUAAUAUGGGUUAAGUGCUAUCUGGUUUCGUAUGUUGUCCUGUGAUGGAUUUAUUUGGCGUCAUUACAAUAUUUAAAUGGGACUUUCUUCUGCCGAGGCCCACAAACCAAAGUAAAAAAACAAUAGGGGGCAAGGAGACCUUAUUUCAACAUGAGGACUAUGCCAGCUGUACGUAAUGUUGCCAGAGAAAAUAGAGCAUGCCCAGUUAAAUUUGAAUUUCAGACAGACCAUAAAUAAUUUUUUAGUAUAAACGUGUUGCAAAUGUAUAAGAUGUGCAAAAGGAGAUGUCUGAAGAUUUUUGGUGACACCUUGAAGAUAUAAAAGAGGGGAGGCUGAGGAGGCCAGGUGAUAUACUUUUGGAGAUAUUUGUUAGAGUUCGGUAUCAUUCCCACUGCCUCUUCCGUGGGAGAGAGGAGGAUAUGCUUCCUUCCACUAAGGCCUCCUGAGAAAGGCCCAAAGGGACUUGGCACUUGCAGCCUGGUGACAGAGGGAGCCGGUGUGUUACCUGCCCGGAAGAGUUAGGUCAAAAAACUGGCUAGAGCCACCUGCCCAGCAGCAGAGCCAGGAGAGGCUGCACGAAAGCACGCUGCACCUCCACCAAAGGCAUUCAGGGGGGUAUAUUUCUCAUGGAUCAGACAUAGCCCCACGGAAGGCAGGUGGCUUGCAAACAAACUCCGCUCGGGAGGACUUCCCUACAGCGAGGAAUGGCUUUGGCAGAAAGAGACCCAUCGGUUGCAGGAGCUGAGGCGAUUGCUUAAACUGCCACCUGGAGGAGGAUUGAGAGAGGUAGAGGCUGAUGUUCCCAGAGAAGAACUUUCUGUGGAUUUUGUCCAAGUGCCCCAGGAGGAGAGUCAGGAGGCCUGGCAGUGCCACAGGAGGCAAGGCGCAGAUAUUAGAGAGGUAAGUGUUGAUUGGAGAGCU